GUGCUGCACAGGAUGGCUCAAUGGUCAGAGCAUGAGAUUCUUAAUCUCAGGGUUGGGGGUUCAAGCCCCAUGCUGGACG